AUUAAAAGAUAACACGGAAACAUCGUCAGCCUUCGUUGGCUUCAAGGAUUUAAAAGAUACCGACCAAGAAAGGAUAAAAAAAGCACGCGAAAAGCUCGCGUUUGCAUUGAAAAUGGAGAAACCGGAAAAAAAGAAGGGAAAACGAACUGUAGAUGACGAUGAAUCAGAAUGGAAGCCACACACGAAGAAACCGAAAACUAAGACACAAUCUGAAAAGGAAUAAGCAGCCGAAAAACACGCUUACCAAAUACCAGACCACUACGAAGAAUCACAUCUGGAGCCACCUAUUACAAAUAGGACAAACAGUCCAUUUGAGCCAACGAUAUAUACAGGUGGAGAGCACACGUAUGAAAUAGAGGACUUUUUACACAUUUAUAUUAGUAAACAGAAAGACAGUGUCCUAGUUGGUAUAAUACAUUUCUAUGCAAAAGCACCGAGUAGAAUCCUUAAACCUGGGAUGAAGGGAAUAUACCUUACCGUUGGUCAAUACCGUACACUAAUCAGUAAGAGAGUUUCUAUUUCAAACGCAAUCAAACAAAUUAAAGAAGACACAGAAGGAAAAGGUUUGAAACAGAUGAAGAAAGACAAACAAGUUGCUGCUAAAACAGAUUUCGAUAUUUCCAAAAACAAAAAGGUCAUUGUUAAAUCCGAAUUCAUUUCCUGGAGUCAACAAGUGGUAGUAGACAUCCGUGAUUACAGCACACCAGCAGAACAACCCGGAGAGAUACCAUUACUCACAGAUAAGGGGGUCACACUAACUGAAAAACAAUGGAAUAAAUUAUUAUCAUUGCAUUUAAAAGUCAUCAGAGACCUGGCAGAUAAUUUUGAUCAUUUGGAAGAUUUCGCUGAUGAACUCAGUGCUUUGUAGAUCAGAGUGACUUAUUUUGUGGAACAAUGUUUUCGUAAAAGACGACAUUGAUGAUAACGUGUAAAUACAGGACAGUUCUGUUCAUAUAUUUAUUUUCUAUAAUAAAACCCUUUUUUCAA